CCGAAGAUCGAGAAUAGGAGUAUAUCGAACUCUUAGUACAGCCCGGGGUAACCUGUGGAUAGCAGAUAUCGUCAGGGAUUAUAGUCGGCUUUACUACUCCAAAAAUUGUAGGUUUACUGCCUUUGUGCACUUUUGUUCCUUGUGAGCCCACGAGUCACUGUAAAGGGAGAUGAGAAAAAUGGUACAAAAGUCUUGAGGGGUUCCGAUUGGUACUCCAGGUAACGAAUGUCUACUGGGACGUCGCGACGGUUGUCACGGGCUCGAGGGGAGUAUCGGGUCGUGACAGAAGCCGAGAUAGUCAAAGAGGCAACAAAUGACCAAAGUUUUCCCCAUCGCAAGGAGAAAAACAAUUGACAAAACUUUCUUAAACAUUUUCGAGCUUAACUUUUCUCAAUGUUGGUCAUUUUUUUAAUUGAAAUUUGUCCUCGAAAUGAUGAAUUUCCUUAUCUAUCUCCCUUUAAUAAUCAUCAAUACAUAUAACGUGCUUUAAUAAUAUAAGAUUUUGGAGUGAGAGAUUAAUACUUGUUAAAUAUUUAAAAAAAAAAGAAAAAAAAGAAAAAGUGAGACCAAUAAUUUCAUAAAGUAAAAGAUGUUUGGGUCCAUUGUCAUUUGAAUGAAAGAAAAUAACAAUAAAAAUAGACUUGAAAGAAUACCAAGUCUUUGCUGCAACUUUUCUUGGAUAAUAAAAUAAAAUUAUUUCAAAAAUGAAUGGAUAAUUCCAUGUUCCACUAGCAAAAGCUGUGGUGGUUGGGAUUAUUGUAUUAGAAAAGAAAAAGAUGUGAUAUAAUAUUUGUUAUAUCAAAGAAAAGUGAAUAAUAUUUGUUUAUUAAUUAGUGGGGAAACUCACAUGUGACAUAUUUGAGCCAAGUUGCCAAUACUUUUCCAAAUUUCCAAUACCUACUCUUAUUAAUUAGUGAGGUAAGCUUCAAUAAAACAUAUUGUAUUCAUUGUAUAUGAAUUAGACAGCUGCUGCAGGAAGAAUUUUAAUUUGUUCACUAAAAGCUUCUCAAAGUAGGUCAUUACUUAUUACUAGAAGAAACUUUACCAGGUGAUGCUUAAUUGCAAAAGAAUCAUACUUAAAUAGGUAUCAAGUGUUUACUCUUAAUGACAUUUACAAAAUAAUAAUACUAGUUUUUAUUCAUAAAGAGAGUUAAGUAUUUUCAUAUAAACCAACCAAGUAGGUAAGAAAUAAAUGCCGAAAUAAUUGAAAAAUAAAAGAAAAUGUAUUUUCAUAUAAAAUGAAGCCAAUUUUACAUUAGUUAGAAUUUUCUUUAACAAAGUCUCUCCAUCCUUAUAUAUUUUUUUUCAUUGAGAGAGAAUUAGUCAAUAAUAAUUCUUCAAUGACAUUAAACUCUCCAUUAACUGAGAUAGUAAUAUUGUGUUCAAUUCAAACAUGUAUCAGAAAACUUUAGGAAAGCUCUAAGAAUCUUUUUAUUCCAAUAAAGUUUGUUUUCACAUUAAACUUAAUUCUUUUAAGGCAAUAAUCAAGAAGAGUCUUAAUUUCACAUUGAUGUUUCUUUAUUAAUUUUGAAGGAAAUAUAGUCAAUUAGGCAACCAAUGACCAAAAUUUUCCCGUCGCAAGGAGAAAAACAAUUGAUAAAACUUGCUUAGAUAUUUUUUAGCUUAACUUUUCUCAAUGUUGGCAAUUUUUUUAAUUGAAAUUUCUCCUAGAAAUGAUUGAUGUCAUUAGCUAUUAAAUCUUUUACUUUAGAUGUCACUAUUUCAUUUUUUUCGAAAGAUACCACAACUAGUUGAGCAAGACGCCACCGAAGGGUCUGCCAUUGCUCAAAAUGCAAUUCACAUCGGGAACAUAUUUUGGUCCCGAAGCACGGGAUCGACUACCACCUUUCAUGGAAGAAUGAUUUCAGGGGAAGUUGCAAAGGCAUAUCUAAAAUAAAUGGGUAGGUUGAGGCUGUCAACUAAACACAGGAGAUUGAAAUUACUUUGCUACAUGCAGUUGUCAAGCGAAGGGAUCCCUUACUUUCAGUAAUUUACUCAAUCAAUGUUAUGCUGCUCUCUAUGUGUACAAAAGAUUGAAAGUCCUCUAUUUCUUAUUUUUAUUUUUGUAUUUUAAAUCUUUAGUGAGUAAGUUGUGCUAGUAUGUUAUGCAGCAAUAAAGACAUUGUAACAUUAAACUCUAAUGUCUAUGUACAUGAAGAAACUUUAAAAAAAGGAGAAGGAGAGAGAUAGUAGGCAAGAGAGGAAGAGAAAAAAAAUGUAUAAGUUUUUGUAUUUGUUUCUGCUUAAGAACUUAGUUGGUUCUUCUCUCUUUAACUAGCUUACGAACCAUGUUAUACAAGGAAACUUUGUCCAACAAUAGGGAGAGAUUAUAGGGUCAAUAAUGGUGUAUCAAUCUUCCAAAAUUUGUGCAACAUCUCUUUACAGAAAAUAUUGCAACACAUGUUAAUCUUGCUAC
rnacentral:sRNA from 10 species